rnacentral:rRNA from 1 species
UACCCGAAACCGACACAGGUGGUCAGGUCGAGUAGACCAAAGCGCUUGAGAGAACUCUGCUGAAGGAACUAGGCAAAAUGGUACCGUAACUUCGGGAGAAGGUACGCUGCCGACGGUGAUAGGAUUUACUCCUUGAGCUAUUGGCAGCCACAGAAACCAGGCCCCUGCAACUGUUUAUUAAAAACAUAGCACUCUGCAAACACGAAAGUGGACGUAUAGGGUGUGAUGCCUGCCCGGUGCUGGAAGGUUAAUUGAUGGGGUUAGCGUAAGCGAAGCUCUUGAUCGAAGCCCCAGUAAACGGCGGCCGUAACCAUAACGGUCCUAAGGUAGCGAAAUUCCUUGUCGGGUAAGUUCCGACCUGCACGAAUGGCAUAAUGAUGGGGGCGCUGUCUCCAGCAGAGACUCAGUGAAAUCGAAUUCGCCGUGAAGAUGCGGUGUACCCGCGGCUAGACGGAAAGACCCCGUGAACCUUUACUGCAGCUUGACAUUGAACUUUGAUCUUACUUGUGUAGGAUAGGUGGGAGGCUUUGAAACCGAGACGCUAGUUUCGGUGGAGCCAAUCUUGAAAUACCACCCUGGUAAUAUUGAGGUUCUAACUCUGUCCCGUUAUCCGGGACGAGGACCAUGUCUGGUGGGUAGUUUGACUGGGGCGGUCUCCUCCUAAAGAGUAACGGAGGAGUACGAUGGUGCGCUCAGCGUGGUCGGAAAUCACGCGUAGAGUAUAAAGGCAAAAGCGCGCUUAACUGCGAGACCCACAAGUUGAGCAGGUACGAAAGUAGGUCUUAGUGAUCCGGUGGUUCUGUAUGGAAGGGCCAUCGCUCAACGGAUAAAAGGUACUCUGGGGAUAACAGGCUGAUACCGCCCAAGAGUUCAUAUCGACGGCGGUGUUUGGCACCUCGAUGUCGGCUCAUCUCAUCCUGGGGCUGAAGCAGGUCCCAAGGGUAUGGCUGUUCGCCAUUUAAAGAGGUACGCGAGCUGGGUUUAGAACGUCGUGAGACAGUUCGGUCCCUAUCUACCGUGGGCGUUGGAAAUUUGAGAGGAUCUGCUCCUAGUACGAGAGGACCAGAGUGGACGAACCUCUGGUGUACCGGUUGUGACGCCAGUCGCAUCGCCGGGUAGCUAUGUUCGGAAGGGAUAACCGCUGAAAGCAUCUAAGCGGGAAGCCUACCUCAAGAUAAGAUUUCCCUAGGACUUUAUGUCCUCUAAAGAGCCGUUGAAGACUACGACGUUGAUAGGUUGGAUGUGGAAGCAUAGUGAUAUGUGAAGCUGACCAAUACUAAUUGCUCGUGAGGCUUGACUAA